AGGAGGGAAAGAAGGAGGGAAAAGGGGGCGGAAGGGGAGGUGGGUGCUGUCUGGGCAGGAGUAUAGGGAGGAGAGAAUGGAGCCUGGGGGUGCCCGGGAGAGGCAGAGGUGGAAAGCUGGGCUGCCCCUUCUCUUUUUCCUUCUCUCAAACUCCUUGUACCUUUCCAUGAUAACCCCAAUUUCCCUGGCAAUUAUUUUAUCUACUUAUUUCUUUUUUUUUUUUCUCUGAGAAAGUAAACCCCAAAGGAGAAGGGAUCGCACCUGUGUUAUUCGCUGCAGUAUCCCAGAAGCACAGUGCUUCACAGGCAAUAUGUGCUUAAUAAAUAUACGCCGAAUGACUGAACUGCAACCAAGGACACUGUAUACUUGCUUUACAGACCUAGUGACGUAGGAUUCAGAGUGUUUGUAAGAGACCAGGCAGAUACCGCGCAGAAUUUCUUACAUGGAUCACCUACAGGCACUAACAUAUUCCCGAGGAAUAUAAACAAUGCUGAAUUCAGGGCGUUUUUCAAGAUGACACAGGUCUCAAGAACACAACCUCUGUUACUCUGUUCCCUCUUAUCCAUCAUCUCAUGCCCGAGUCACAUCUUUGUUGUUGGUGCCUGGCGGCUAUUCUGCAGAAUACCUUGGGGGAAGGUCUGCAAUGUGCCCAAAGAAGCCUUUUGUGUGUGUUGAGAGUGACAGUCGCCUCUGGAUGAUCUCACUUUUCUCCUUUUGUUUCAACUAGAUUUGUUCUUUCUGUUGAAGACUAAUCUCACAUGCUCCCUCUUAUUCCUUCUUCCUUUCGGAGCGCAUCAAUUACUCCAAAUGCAUAAGAAACAAAUGUGGUUCAAGAGCAAACAGUUCAAAGGGACUUGGGGGAACCUCAGGCCACUACAUCAAACUGAAAGAUGCAAACACUCCUUCGCUUUAAAAAAUGUUGGCAAGUUCUGUGUUCUAUAGUUCAGCCAAAAUAUCAGUCUAAAGAUAACCAUGCUGGAACUAGCAAAACUAAGCCACUGAUCACCUUAUCAUUAAGUCUGGCCAUUUUACUUUCCUCUAUAAACAAAUGAUAAUCCAUGGAUAUGUUUUAAAGCUGAUUAUGGGCAUUACACAAAUGAAACCCCCUUUCCCAAUUAGACUGUUAUAUUGGAAUGUUUUUUUGUUUCAUUUAUUUGCUUGCUUUUCAGUUAUUCAGAGAAAUGAGCAUGGUACAGUUUGCAUAUAAGCCUAUUGAAUUUGCAAUAUUAAGGAUACCACCUUAAAUUAUAUUACAAGAUGCCUAAAAUCAGUGUUGGUCUCUAAAUGAUACCAACCACUAUAGCCUGUGUUCUUUCUAAAGCACAAAGACCUUUCUGGACUCUCUGGGGGAAAUAUCCAGGCCCUGCAGGUGCAGUUCUGAAAAAAUCAGAAACCUCAGGGGCAAGGACAGAACUCUAUCUUUUGGGCAUGCACUGGGGCUGGGAGCCUCUAGAAUUGUGUUAUUUCUCUCAUCUUGUGUCUUUGACCACAGUGUAGUCCAGUUUCUUGGCUGCAAGUAAAAGAAUCUACCUCUAAGAAGCUUAACAUGAAAGAUAAUUUGUUGGAAGAAUCUCACAUAAUCUAAAGAAGAGCUGAAUGAUUCAGUCUUAGGAAGGGUGAGGAUCCCACUGGGUUUAAGGAAAUAUUGGAACCAACGCCUCAGGACCAGUUAUGUAAUUUGCAGUGUCCUUUGUUUGAAAAUGAUUGAGAGCUUCAAGAUGGCCACAGCAGAACAUUAAACCAAGUACGGGACCUUAUGAGACUGCGUGGGCCACAUGCCCAUGAAGCUGGCCCUGCAAGGAGUUGGGCCCAUUGACCUCUCUGUGCCUUUCACCUCUGCUUCUCUUUCCUUCACUCUCUCCUAUGGUAAAGCAAUUCUUCCACAUUGCAGAGGACACAACCACUGACAGAUUCCAAGUUAAGACUUUGGGGAUUUUAUCAUCAGAAAAGACGGACUUUUCCCUGUUCUAGUUAGAUGCCCAUAAAUCCCAUGAACAGGCUCUGAUUGGUCUCACUUGGGUUGGGUUCCCACCUAUGAGCCAUCAGACAUGGCUUAUAACAUAUGGGAGCUUCCAUUUGAACCUCAUGGAUGGAGCUGGUCGGGGGGAAGUGGGGGCUGGGUAGGAAGAGCAGGUACCAAAAGAAGCACAUGCUCUUCCUUAUAAGAACAGGGUAAUGCUGAGCAGACAGAACAACAGAUGGACAUUAGACAGGUCCAUUAGUGCUGACUCUAUAGGAGAGAGGAAGCAUUUUGAACUCCCUUCAGUUUUGCCAACUGAAUAGGCCACAGAUCCUGCUAUAGUUACAGGCCUCCACUAGCUCAUUCAUUAGUGCCAGGUCCAUCUUAUUAUUUGCUAAAAUAUCCCUUCACCUCUGUGUAGAUAGAAUUGGUAUCUCACUUGCAGACACUCUUGUGUUUACAAACUGUGGGUUACAACACAUUAGUGAGUGAUGAAGUUGGUUUAGUGAGUUACAAACAACAUCAAAAAAAUAGAACAGCAGAUAAUUGAAGAGAAAGUAUCAUCUGUAAGGGGAAGUACUAUUACUUCAUAAAGUUGUUUAUAAAGUUGUAAAAAGUUUACUUCAUAAAGUUGUAAAACUAAAUAUAGUAUAUAUAUGAUAAAGGAAUACCAGGUCAUUCUGGGUUUGCAAUAUGACAUAUUUUCUUGCUUGGAUUAUGGUAAAAAAUAAAGACAGUCUGACAUAUACUAUA
rnacentral:lncRNA from 1 species